CCCUCACCCUUGCGCGGGUGUGAACUGCUGUGCAACUACCGAUGCUCCGAUCAGAUACACACACAAGGAUGUGCGUGAUAGACAGCAGCCAGUGUAUGUGAGUCCCCAUGAUAAAGGUAGUCUCUAUUGGUCCCCACGGUGCAGUUUGUCACUAGUGAUCCCCACGAUGCAGCUAGUGUAUGUUAGUCCCCAUGAUAAAGGUAGUCUCUAUUGGUCCCCACGGUGCAGUUUGUCACUAGUGGUCCCCACGAUGCAGCUAGUGUAUGUUAGUCCCCAUGAUAAAGGUAGUCUCUAUUGGUCCCCACGGUGCAGUUUGUCACUAGUG